ensembl:lncRNA
UUUUCUCUGCAAAAAUUUGUGUCGUUUUUUUGCCAUUUUCAGGGGUUGUACUUUAACGAACUCCUCCUAGAGAUUUAUUCAGAUCAACACCAAACUUUGUCAGUGUAAUCUAAAGGCCUUUGCGAUGUUAAAUUGCGAAGAUCUUGAGGUUUCGUUUAAGGGCGUGUCUGUGGCGGCCUUACAAAUUUCGAUGUUUCGCCAUGAGAAAGGAAGUUGCUAUAACUCAGACAUACAAUGUCCAAUCUGCCCCAAACUUCACAUGUUUGAGAAGACUCCUGACCUGAAUAUAUCUACAUGCCAAUAUUCAGAUAUCGCUAUAGCGCCACCUGCUGGCAACAGGAAGUGACAUGUUUUACGCCGUAACAAACUACUCCUAGAAAUUUUAUGACAUUUUAUAUUUUUUUGGGUCAGUCUAAUCUAAAGGCCUUUGCGAUGUUAAAUUGUGAACAUCUUGAGGUUUCAUUAAAGGGUGUGGCCAUGGCGCCGUCACAAAGUUCGUUGUCUCGCCAUGGGAAUGGAAGUUGCUAUAACUCAGACAUACAAUGUCCAAUCUGCCCCAAACUUCACAUGUUUGAGAAGACUCCUGACCUGAAUAUAUCUACAUGCCAAAUAUUCAGAUAUCGCUAUAGCGCCACCUGCUGGCAACAGGAAGUGACAUGGUUUCACGCCGUAACAAACUACUCCUAGAUAUUUUAUGACAUUUUAUAAUUUUUUUUGGUCAGUCUAAUCUAAAGGCCUUUGCGAUGUUAAAUUGUGAACAUCUUGAGGUUUCAUUAAAGGGUGUGGCCAUGGCGCUGUGACAAAGUUCGAUGUCUCGCCAUGGGAAUAGAAGUUGUUGUAACUCAGGCAUAAGAUGUCCGAUCUUCCCCAAACUUCACAUGUUCGAAAAGAGUCUUGGCCUGAACACAUCUGAAGGUCAUUAUUCCACUAUAAUCAUAGCGCCACCUGCUGACAACAGAAAAUGGCUUAUUUUACACUAACUUAAACAUGCAAUGUCCAAUCUGCACCAAACUUCAAAUAUUUGAUAAGAGUCAUGGCCUGAAGAUAUCUAAAGGCAAAUGUUCAGUUAUAGUCAUAGCGCCACCAGCUGGCAGCAGGAAGAUUGGCACAUAUAAAUGACUUUGGACAUAUUCCUCUUAUAUUUACCACAUUAAACGCAUAUUUCUCGCCGUUCGCUGUUUUACAAAAGCCACCCGGUGGUGGUGAGCCCGGGUGCGAGGGCCCGUUCAUCGCUGCUUGCAGCUUUAAUUAGGGCCCGAGCACCGAUGGUGUGAGGACCCUCUUGUAUCUGCUUCGUUUCUUCUUCUUCUUCUUCUUCUUCAUCUUCUUCUUUUUCUUCUUCUCCAAAAUGAAUCGCAUUUUUGAGGGCCUAAACAUGCUCGAAAAGUCCUGAAACUUUGCACACGCGUCAGACCUGGUGAAAAUUUACGUCUGAUAUAGGUUUCAGAAGAGGGUGUGGCAAAAUGGCUCGACAGCGCCACCUAUCGUAAAAAAUCAACAGCCCUCGAGCUGUGUUUCACGUACAUGCACGAAAAUUGGCACACAUAUGUAAAGCAUCAGUACCUACAAAAAAGACUCUUGGAGCAAUAUCCGAAACCCAACAGGAAGUCGGUUAUUUUUAAUUUUAUGAGCAAAUUUUGCAUCAUUUUUGUCAUUUGCAUGCCUUGUAUUUUAACGAACUCCUCCUAGAGAUUUAUUCAAUUCAACACCAAAUUUGGUAUGCCUAAUCUAAAGGCCUUUGCGAUGUUAAAUUGCGAAGAUCUUGAGUUUUCGUUGAAGGGCGUGUCCGUGGCGGCCUGACGAAUUUCGAUGAUUCGCCAUGAAAAAUGAAGUUGCUGUAACUCAGACAUACAAUGUCCAAUCUGCCCCAAACUUCACAUGUUUGAGAAAACUCCUGACCUGAACAUAUCUACAUGCCCAUAUUCAGUUAUAGUCAUAGCGCCACCUACUGGCAACAGGAAGUGACAUAUUUUUACACUGUAACGAAACUACUCCUAGAAAUUUUUAUGACACUUUAUAAUUUUUUUUUGGUCAGUCUAAUCUAAAUGCCUUUAUGAUGUUAAAUUGUGAACAUGUUGAGUUUUCAUUAAACGGUGUGUCCAUGGCGCCGUGACAAAUGUUGAUGUCUCGCCAUGGGAAUAAAAGUUAUUGUAACUCAGGCAUAAAAUGACCGAUCUUGCCCAAACUUCACAUGUUCGAUAAGAGUCCUGGCCUGAACACAUCUGAUGGCCAAUAUUCCAUCGGGUGUGGCAAAAUGCCUCAAUAGUGCCACCUAUACAAUUUCAACGGAGUGCGCCUCGAGCUACGUUUCACGUACAUGUACAAAAAUCGGUACACACAUGUAACACACCAAUACCUACAAAAAAGUCUCUUGGUACAAAAUUCGAAUCCCAACAGGAAGUCAGUUAUUUUUGAAUUUUUCUCUGCAAAAAUUUGUGUCGUUUUUUUGCCAUUUUCAGGGGUUGUACUUUAACGAACUCCUCCUAGAGAUUUAUUCAGAUCAACACCAAACUUUGUCAGUGUAAUCUAAAGGCCUUUGCGAUGUUAAAUUGCGAAGAUCUUGAGGUUUCGUUUAAGGGCGUGUCUGUGGCGGCCUUACAAAUUUCGAUGUUUCGCCAUGAGAAAGGAAGUUGCUAUAACUCAGACAUACAAUGUCCAAUCUGCCCUCAAACUUCACAUGUUUGAGAAGACUCCUGACCUGAAUAUAUCUACAUGCCAAUAUUCAGAUAUCGCUAUAGCGCCACCUGCUGGCAACAGGAAGUGACAUGUUUUACGCCGUAACAAACUACUCCUAGAAAUUUUAUGACAUUUUAUAAUUUUUUUUGGUCAGUCUAAUCUAAAGGCCUUUGCGAUGUUAAAUUGUGAACAUCUUGAGGUUUCAUUAAAGGGUGUGGCCAUGGCGCCGUGACAAAGUUCGAUGUCUCGCCAUGGGAAUAGAAGUUGUUGUAACUCAGGCAUAAGAUGUCCGAUCUUCCCCAAACUUCACAUGUUCGAAAAGAGUCUUGGCCUGAACACAUCUGAAGGUCAUUAUUCCACUAUAAUCAUAGCGCCACCUGCUGACAACAGAAAAUGGCUUGUUUUACACUAACUUAAACAUGCAAUGUCCAAUCUGCACCAAACUUCAAAUAUUUGAUAAGAGUCAUGGCCUGAAGAUAUCUAAAGGCCAAUGUUCAGUUAUAAUCAUAGCGCCACCUGUUGGCAAUAGGACACAACAUGCUUUAUACUAACUCAAACAUUCCAUGUUCAAUCUGCACUAAAUUUCAUAUGCUUGAUAAAAGUGCUGGACUGAAGAAAUCUACAUGACAAAAUCCAGUUAUAGUCAUAGCGCCACCAGCUGGCAGCAGGAAGAUUGGCACAUAUAAAUGACUUUGACAUAUUUCCUCUUAUAUUUACCACAUUAAACGCAUAUUUCUCGCCGUUCGCUGUU